GAAAAUAGCAGAGCUGGAGUGGAAUGUGUGAGGCUGUCGGUCAUCUUAUGUGGGAACGAGGCAUGCAACAUGGGGCUCGGGCUCAUUCAACACAAGGUCUUGGCACCAGGAAGAUUUCAGCAGCCAUAAGCAAUGGCACUUGGGUCUAAAUUUGAUCAGAGGGCAUAUGGACCUGGGUCCUCAUCAUCCAAGUAAAUAAAUGUUCUGUUUUUAUUUCU